CUACGGGACGCAGCAGGGGGGAAUAUUGGGCAAUGGGCGCAAGCCUGACCCAGCAACGCCGCGUGAGGGAAGAAUGUCUUCGGAUUGUAAACCUCUGUCCUUAGGGACGAAAAAAAUGACGGUACCUAAGGAGGAAGCUCCGGCUAACUACGUGCCAGCAGCCGCGGUAAUACGUAGGGAGCAAGCGUUGUCCGGAAUUAUUGGGCGUAAAGGGUGCGUAGGCGGUAAUCCAAGUCAGAUGUGAAAGACCCGGGCUUAACUCGGGAGGUGCAUUUGAAACUGGGUUACUUGAGUACAGGAGAGGUAAGUGGAAUUCCUAGUGUAGCGGUGAAAUGCGUAGAUAUUAGGAGGAACACCAGUGGCGAAGGCGACUUACUGGACUGUCACUGACGCUGAGGCACGAAAGCGUGGGGCGCAAACAGGAUUAGAUACCCCCGUAGUC
rnacentral:rRNA from 1 species